rnacentral:rRNA from 1 species
CCUACGGGGGGCUGCAGUGGGGAAUAUUGGACAAUGGGGGGAACCCUGAUCCAGCCAUGCCGCGUGUGUGAAGAAGGCCCUCGGGUUGUAAAGCACUUUCAGUGAGGAAGAACGCCUGGUGGUUAAUACCCAUCAGGAAAGACAUCACUCACAGAAGAAGCACCGGCUAACUCCGUGCCAGCAGCCGCGGUAAUACGGAGGGUGCGAGCGUUAAUCGGAAUUACUGGGCGUAAAGCGCGCGUAGGUGGCUUGAUAAGCCGGUUGUGAAAGCCCCGGGCUCAACCUGGGAACGGCAUCCGGAACUGUCAAGCUGGAGUGCAGGAGAGGAAGGUAGAAUUCCCAGUGUAGCGGUGAAAUGCGUAGAGAUCGGGAGGAAUACCAGUGGCGAAGGCGGCCUUCUGGACUGACACUGACACUGAGGUGCGAAAGCGUGGGUAGCAAACAGGAUUAGAUACCCUGGUAGUC